CAGAAACUGAUUUCAUUUGGUGACGUAGAUGUUUGUACCCAGUCUCUAGCACCAUAUGAAAUCAGUGUUUU
rfam:Larimichthys crocea isolate SSNF unplaced genomic scaffold scaffold220, whole genome shotgun sequence.